UACUCUCCGUAGAAUGCGAGCUGUACAAAACAAUGCUGUCUUCUGGAUCCCUUGGAGCCUGACAGCAGCUCCAAUUUUCUUAAUAUGUUUUUCAAAGCCCUUGGAAACUGUUCCUAAUGCUCCAAUUACGACUGAGACAAAACUACAAAU